rnacentral:rRNA from 1 species
UACGUAGGGGGCAAGCGUUGUCCGGAUUUAUUGGGCGUAAAGAGCGUGUAGGCGGCCAGGUAGGUCAGCUGUGAAAACUCGAGGCUCAACCUCGAGAUGUCGGCUGAAACCAUCUGGCUAGAGUCCGGAAGAGGAGAAUGGAAUUCCCGGUGUAGCGGUGAAAUGCGCAGAUAUCGGGAAGAACACCCGUGGCGAAGGCGGUUCUCUGGGACGGUACUGACGCUGAGACGCGGAAGCGUGGGGAGCGAACAGG